UUGUAUGCAUAUGUGCAUGUGUAUGUGUGUGUGUGUGUGUGUAUAUAUAUAUACACACACACACACACACCCCAUUAUUUAUUCAUCCAUAC
rnacentral:miRNA from 1 species